CCACGGGCGGCUGCAGUGGGGAAUAUUGGACAAUGGGGGCAACCCUGAUCCAGCCAUGCCGCGUGUGUGAAGAAGGCCCUCGGGUUGUAAAGCACUUUCAGUGAGGAAGAACGCCUGGUGGUUAAUACCCAUCAGGAAAGACAUCACUCACAGAAGAAGCACCGGCUAACUCCGUGCCAGCAGCCGCGGUAAUACGGAGGGUGCGAGCGUUAAUCGGAAUUACUGGGCGUAAAGCGCGCGUAGGUGGCUUGAUAAGCCGGUUGUGAAAGCCCCGGGCUCAACCUGGGAACGGCAUCCGGAACUGUCAAGCUAGAGUGCAGGAGAGGAAGGUAGAAUUCCCGGUGUAGCGGUGAAAUGCGUAGAGAUCGGGAGGAAUACCAGUGGCGAAGGCGGCCUUCUGGACUGACACUGACACUGAGGUGCGAAAGCGUGGGUAGCAAACAGGAUUAGAUACCCUAGUAGUC
rnacentral:rRNA from 1 species